rnacentral:rRNA from 1 species
AUGAACGCUAGCUACAGGCUUAACCCAUGCCAGUCGAGGGGAAACGACAUCGAAAGCUUGCUUUUGAUGGGCGUCGACCGGCGCACGGGUGAGUAACGCGUAUCCAACCUGCCCAUCACUUGGGAAUAACCUUGCGAAAGUAAGACUAAUACCCAAUGAUAUCCCACGAAGGCAUCGGAAUGGGAUUAAAGAUUUAUCGGUGAUGGAUGGGGAUGCGUCUGAUUAGCUUGUUGGCGGGGUAACGGCCCACCAAGGCAACGAUCAGUAGGGGUUCUGAGAGGAAGGUCCCCAACAUUGGAACUGAGACACGGUCCAAACUCCUACGGGAGGCAGCAGUGAGGAAUAUUGGUCAAUGGGCGAGAGCCUGAACCAGCCAAGUAGCGUGCAGGAAGACGGCCCUAUGGGUUGUAAACUGCUUUUAGAAGGGAAUAAAGUGGGUCACGUGUGACUUUUUGCAUGUACCUUAUGAAUAAGGACCGGCUAAUUCCGUG